rnacentral:rRNA from 1 species
UACGAAGGGGGCUAGCGUUGCUCGGAAUCACUGGGCGUAAAGGGCGCGUAGGCGGCGUUUUAAGUCGGGGGUGAAAGCCUGUGGCUCAACCACAGAAUGGCCUUCGAUACUGGGACGCUUGAGUAUGGUAGAGGUUGGUGGAACUGAGAGUGUAGAGGUGAAAUUCGUAGAUAUUCGCAAGAACACCGGUGGCGAAGGCGGCCAACUGGACCAUUACUGACGCUGAGGCGCGAAAGCGUGGGGAGCAAACAGG